ACCAGCUCCAAGUCCAAGCCUAUCAACCGCAUCAGCACGGUGGUGUGAGUGUCAGGAGACGCAACAACCCUCCCAGACACCAGGGGGCACCGCUCGUCAGACUGAGGUCGUCAGACCAGGACAACUACAGGUUUAAGAGGGGCCACGUCCAGGUCAUCCAAUAUGGCCGCCAGCGCUCUGGGAGAGGCAGGAAGAGGUGGGACUUGCUCAGGCUGUGUUACUUCCACCUCCGGUUUCCUCACAGAUUCACAUUCAGCUAGAGAGGAAGAGGAAGAUACUAACUCACUGAAGAGGAAGAUACUAACUCACUGAAGAGGAAGAUACUAACUCACUGAAGAGGUAGAGAGGAAGAGGAAGAUACUAACUCACUGAAGAGGUAGAGAGGAAGAGGAAGAUACUAACUCACUGAAGAGGAAGAGAGGAAGAGGAAGAUACUAACUCACUGAAGAGGAAGAGAGGAAGAGGAAGAUACUAACUCACUGAAGAGGAAGAGAGGAAGAGGAAGAUGCUAACUCACUGAAGAGGAAGAUACUAACUCACUGAAGAGGUAGAGAGGAAGAGGAAGAUACUAACUCACUGAAGAGGAAGAGAAAGAUACUAACUCACUGAAGAGGAAGAGGAAGAUACUAACUCACUGAAGAGGAAGAGGAAGAUACUAACUCACUGAAGAGGAAGAGGAAGAUACUAACUCACUGAAGAGGAAGAUACUAACUCACUGAAGAGGAAGAGGAAGAUACUAACUCACUGAAGAGGAAGAGAGGAAGAGGAAGAUACUAACUCACUGAAGAGGAAGAGAGGAAGAGGAAGAUACUAACUCACUGAAGAGGAAGAUACUAACUCACUGAAGAGGAAGAGAGAAAGAGGAAGAUACUAACUCACUGAAAGCCUGACUCGCUCUCCAGACUCAGAGACUAGAGGAAGAGGAAGACACACAAAAAAUGACAUUCAGUGACUCAUGGAC
ensembl:lncRNA